rnacentral:rRNA from 1 species
AUGAACCGGCGAGUUACGAUCUGAUGCAAGGUUAAGCAGAAAAUGUGGAGCCGUAGCGAAAGCGAGUCUGAAUAGGGCGAAUGAGUAUUUGGUCGUAGACCCGAAACCAGGUGAUCUACCCUUGGUCAGGUUGAAGUUCAGGUAACACUGAAUGGAGGACCGAACCGACUUACGUUGAAAAGUGAGCGGAUGAACUGAGGGUAGCGGAGAAAUUCCAAUCGAACUUGGAGAUAGCUGGUUCUCUCCGAAAUAGCUUUAGGGCUAGCCUCAAGUGAUGAUUAUUGGAGGUAGAGCACUGUUUGGACGAGGGGCCCCUCUCGGGUUACCGAAUUCAGACAAACUCCGAAUGCCAAAUAAUUUAACUUGGGAGUCAGAAUGUGGGUGAUAAGGUCCAUAUUCGAAAGGGAAACAGCCCAGACCACCAGCUAAGGUCCCAAAAUAUAUGUUAAGUGGAAAAGGAUGUGGCGUUGCCCAGACAACUAGGAUGUUGGCUUAGAAGCAGCCAUCAUUUAAAGAGUGCGUAAUAGCUCACUAGUCGAGUGACACUGCGCCGAAAAUGUACCGGGGCUAAACAUAUUACCGAAGCUGUGGAUUGUCCUUUGGACAAUGGUAGGAGAGCGUUCUAAGGGCGUUGAAGCAUGAUCGCAAGGACAUGUGGAGCGCUUAGAAGUGAGAAUGCCGGUGUGAGUAGCGAAAGACGGGUGAGAAUCCCGUCCACCGAUUGACUAAGGUUUCCAGAGGAAGGCUCGUCCGCUCUGGGUUAGUCGGGUCCUAAGCUGAGGCCGACAGGCGUAGGCGAUGGAUAACAGGUUGAUAUUCCUGUACCACCAUUAUUCGUUUUAAGCGAUGGGGGGACGCAGUAGGAUAGGCGAAGCGUGCUGUUGGAGUGCACGUCCAAGCAGUGAGAUUGAGUGUUAGGCAAAUCCGGCACUCUUAAGAUUGAGCUGUGAUGGGGAGAGGAACUUGUUCCUCGAGUCGUUGAUUUCACACUGCCGAGAAAAGCCUCUAGCUAGAAUAACGGUGCCCGUACCGCAAACCGACACAGGUAGUCAAGAUGAGAAUUCUAAGGUGAGCGAGCGAACUCUCGUUAAGGAACUCGGCAAAAUGACCCCGUAACUUCGGGAGAAGGGGUGCUCUUUGAGGUUCACGCUUCGAAGAGCCGCAGUGAAUAGGCCCAAGCGACUGUUUAUCAAAAACACAGGUCUCUGCUAAACCGUAAGGUGACGUAUAGGGGCUGACGCCUGCCCGGUGCUGGAAGGUUAAGAGGAGUGGUUAGCGCAAGCGAAGCUACGAAUCGAAGCCCCAGUAAACGGCGGCCGUAACUAUAACGGUCCUAAGGUAGCGAAAUUCCUUGUCGGGUAAGUUCCGACCCGCACGAAAGGCGUAACGAUUUGGGCACUGUCUCAACGAGAGACUCGGUGAAAUCAUAGUACCGGUGAAGAUGCCGGUUACCCGCGACAGGACGGAAAGACCCCGUGGAGCUUUACUGUAGCCUGAUAUUGAAAUUCGGUACAGUUUGUACAGGAUAGGUAGGAGCCUUAGAAGCGUGAGCGCUAGCUUACGUGGAGGCAUUGGUGGGAUACUACCCUAAUUGUAUUGGAUUUCUAACCCGCAGCACUUAUCGUGCUGGGAGACAGUGUCAGGCGGGCAGUUUGACUGGGGCGGUCGCCUCCUAAAGAGUAACGGAGGCGCUCAAAGGUUCCCUCAGAAUGGUUGGAAAUCAUUCAUAGAGUGUAAAGGCAUAAGGGAGCUUGACUGCGAGACCUACAAGUCGAGCAGGGUCGAAAGACGGACUUAGUGAUCCGGUGGUUCCGCAUGGAAGGGCCAUCGCUCAACGGAUAAAAGCUACCCCGGGGAUAACAGGCUUAUCUCCCCCAAGAGUUCACAUCGACGGGGAGGUUUGGCACCUCGAUGUCGGCUCAUCGCAUCCUGGGGCUGUAGUCGGUCCCAAGGGUUGGGCUGUUCGCCCAUUAAAGCGGUACGCGAGCUGGGUUCAGAACGUCGUGAGACAGUUCGGUCCCUAUCCGUCGUGGGCGUAGGAAAUUUGAGAGGAGCUGUCCUUAGUACGAGAGGACCGGGAUGGACAUACCUCUGGUGUACCAGUUGUCGUGCCAACGGCAUAGCUGGGUAGCUAUGUAUGGACGGGAUAAGUGCUGAAAGCAUCUAAGCAUGAAGCCCCCCUCGAGAUGAGAUUUCCCAACUUCGGUUAUAAG